rnacentral:RNase_P_RNA from 1 species
UGAGAGUGCCGGGCUGUCGCGCGAUUUGAACGAAAGUUGAAGCGUGAGGAAAGUCCGGGCUUCGCAGGGCAAGGGUGCCGGCUAACGGCCGGUGGAGGCGACUUUAAGGAAAGUGCAACAGAAAGAUACCGCCUCGUCAGAGGUAAGGGUGAAAUGGUGAGGUAAGAGCUCACCGAUCAACCGGAGACGGAUUGGUCCUGUAAACCCCACCCGAAGCAACACCGUGGAGAGACAAUACGGCGGCCCGCCGGUCUCGGGGAGGUGGCUAGAGCGUUUCGGCGACGAUACGCCCAGACAGAUGGCAGUCGAACACAGAACCCGGCUUACAGGCACUCUCGGAAU